GAACCCUUGGCGCAGUGGUAGCGCGUAUGAUUCCAGUUGUGUGAUAUCCUUUGGUACGAUCAGCGGGUGUCCAUAAGGUCGUCCGUUCAAUCCGGGCAGGGUUCA